CGCGGGAUGGAGCAGUCUGGUAGCUCGUCGGGCUCAUAAGCCGAAGGUCGUUGGUUCAAAUCCAGCUCCCGCAACCA
rnacentral:tRNA from 1 species